rnacentral:rRNA from 1 species
ACGCUAGCUACAGGCUUAACACAUGCAAGUCAAGGGGAAACGGCAUUUAGUGCUUGCACCGAAAGGACGUCGACCGGCGCACGGGUGAGUAACGCGUAUCCAACCUUCCCACAACUAAGGAAUAACCUGCCGAAAGGCAGACUAAUACCUUAUGUAAUCCUUUGAUGGCAUCAGAUAAGGAUAAAAGAUUUAUCGGUUAUGGAUGGGGAUGCGUCUGAUUAGCUUGUUGGCGGGGUAACGGCCCACCAAGGCAACGAUCAGUAGGGGUUCUGAGAGGAAGGUCCCCACAUUGGAACUGAGACACGGUCCAAACUCCUACGGGAGGCAGCAGUGAGGAAUAUUGGUCAAUGGACGUAAGUCUGAACCAGCCAAGUAGCGUGCAGGAUGACGGCCCUAUGGGUUGUAAACUGCUUUUGUAUGGGGAUAAAGUCAAUCACGUGUGAUUGUUUGCAGGUACCAUACGAAUAAGGACCGGCUAAUUCCGUGCCAGCAGCCGCGGUAAUACGGAAGGUUCGGGCGUUAUCCGGAUUUAUUGGGUUUAAAGGGAGCGUAGGCCGGAGAUUAAGUGUGUUGUGAAAUGUAGACGCUCAACGUCUGAAUUGCAGCGCAUACUGGUUUCCUUGAGUACGCACAACGUUGGCGGAAUUCGUCGUGUAGCGGUGAAAUGCUUAGAUAUGACGAAGAACUCCGAUUGCGAAGGCAGCUGACGGGAGCGCAACUGACGCUGAAGCUCGAAGGUGCGGGUAUCGAACAGGAUUAGAUACCCUGGUAGUCCGCACAGUAAACGAUGGAUGCCCGCUGUUGGUACCUAGUAUCAGCGGCUAAGCGAAAGCAUUAAGCAUCCCACCUGGGGAGUACGCCGGCAACGGUGAAACUCAAAGGAAUUGACGGGGGCCCGCACAAGCGG